rnacentral:lncRNA from 1 species
CUUCCUCAAAGGGAAAGUGGGCUCCUCCCCACCUCACUGCCUUCUUGGAAACUGGAAGCUUGGAUUGCCCCUCCACCCAUCCCCCGGAAGGAGAGGAAGGCGUGUGGAGGGACUUAGCCCAGGCUCACACAACAUGCAAUCAUCGGCCCGGGACUUCUAUCCAGAAAUGUACUAUGCCCUUCCGCCCUCUGCAUUCACGUAGACUCUGCCUGUGGAACAAAUGGUUGAUCUACAACAAUAUUGAGGAACAACAAGCACUUGAAGAAGAAAACAGUGCCAGGAACCACCUGUUACUUUGCAUGGAAAAGAGCUCAUGAGUUCUUAGAAUGUGGGGUGUGCGUUGUAUGUUAGACGUCAGUGAGCAGUGAGUGUUCGGUGAGGACUUCACAUCUGCCUCCACAGAUGUGCUCGGUCAAGGGCGGGGACAUGAAAAAGUCUUCAUCUGUGCCACAUGUCGUUUCCCUGCUGUUAUCUCUAAACAGUGUGGUAGAACAAGUAUGUGCACAGCACUAGCUUUAUUCUAUUGGAAGCGUGUUGCAUGAAAUGCCAUGCCGUUGAAUACAGGGGAAAUCAGCAGCCUUGGAUUUUGGUAUCUGCAGGAGCCAACCCCACAGCAUCCAUGUACUCUACUUCCUAAGAAAGGAAGUAGUCUGGCAAAUUAGUCUAUCCACAUUCUGGGGGAGACUACAGAGGGUCUGGACCGUCCCUUAUGGAGGCCAGAGCGGUGGUGCUGUCCGCUGUCCAAGGGGUAUCUAUUCUCAAACGCCUGGGCAUGAUGUCAAGAGCUCCAGCCAGCCAGAUCUGCCCAGUCUUUCAGAGAAGCUCCAGCUCCAGGAGGUCAGGGACAAGCUCCUGACUUGAAACUCACUAAAAGGAGAAGUGUAGAAAUUCCCACCCCCUUAUGUUGGUGACUGGUCUGCAACAUUAGGAAAGGGAGUUUUUCCAGAAUGAAU